UGUACACACCGCCCGUCGCUACUACCGAUUGAAUGGCUUAGUGAAUCCUUCGGAUUGGCUUUUUUUUCUGGCAACAGAAUUUAAUCGUUGAAAAGUUGGGCAAACUUGGUCAUUUAGAGGAAGUAAAAGUCGUAACAAGGUUUCCGUAGGUGAACCUGCGGAAGGAUCAUUAAAAAAUUGGACUCUACGAGAGUCUAUUAAUAAUCCUCACCCUUUGUGAAUUUGUUUGUUUGAAAUAAUUUUUUUAAAAAAUUAUUGAAUGUCUUUCCCUAGUUUGUUUUGGCUUUGCUUGAAACAUCUAGGGGAAUGGCAAACAAUAAUAUUUUAAAGACUUUUUUUAAAAUAAAACUUUUGUAUUCAUUUGUCUAAAAUUAUUUUUAUAAUAUAAAAACAACUUUUGACAAUGGAUCUCUUGGUUCUCGCAUCGAUGAAGAACGCAG
rnacentral:misc_RNA from 1 species